GCGACCCCAGGUCAGGCGGGAUUACUCGCUGAGUUUAAGCAUAUCAAAAAGCGGAGGAAAAGAAACUUACAAGGACUAGCUUAGUAACGGCGAGCGAACCGGGAACAACCUAGCCUUAGAAUCGGGCGGCUCCAUCGUCCAAAUUGUAUUCUGGAGAGCCGUCGUCAGUAGCGGACCGAGCCCAAGUCCCUUGGAAGGGGGCGCCAGAGAGGGUGAGAGCCCCGUUGUGACUGGACCCUGUCGCACCAUGAGGCGCUGUCUACGAGUCGGGUUGUUUAGGAAUGCAGCCCACAUCGGGCGGUGAAUUCCUUCCAAGGCUAAAUACGGGCGAGAGACCGAUAGCGAAGAAGUACCGCGAGGGAAAGAUGAAAAGGACUUUGAAAAGAGAGUCAAAGAGUGCUUGAAAUUGUCGGGAGGGAAGCGGAUGGGGGCCGGCGAUGCGCCCCGGUCGGAUGUGGAACGGCGACGAGCCGGUCCGCCGAUCGACUCGGGGCGUGGNUCGGCGAUGCGCCCUAAGAAGGAUGUAGAACGGCGAUGAGCCGGUCUACCCAUCGACUCGGGGCAUGGAACAGCGUCGAUUGGGGGUCGGCCAAAGCCCGGGCUCUCGAUAUGCUCGUGGAACUCCAUCUCCUCGAUUGUGGUAGGUAGCGUGCGCCUCCGGCGUGCUUCGGCAUCUGCGCGCUCCGGACGCUAGCCUGUGGGCUCCCCAUUCGACCCGUCUUAAAACACGUACCAAGGAGUCUAACAUGUGUGCGAGUCAACGGACGAGUAUACCCAUAAGGUGCAACGAAGAUGUUUGGUGGGAUCCCCCCGAGUGUUGCACCGCCGACCGACCUUGAUCUUCUGAGAAGGGUUCGAGUGUGAGCAUACCAGUCGGGACCCGAAAGAUGGUGAACUAUGCCUGAGUGGCGCGAAGCCAGAGGAAACUUAGGUGGGGGCCCGCAGCAAUACUGACGUGUAAAUCAUUCGUCUGACUUGGGUAUAGGGGCGAAAGACUAAUCGAACCAUCUAGUAGCUGGUUCUAUCUGAAGUUUCCCUCAGGAUAGAUAGAGCUCGCGUGUGAGUUCUAUCGGGUAAAUAUAGUGAUUGGAGGCCUCGGGGGCGCAACGCCCUCGACUGAUUCUCAAAAUUUAAAUAGGUAGGAUGGCGUGGCUGCUUGGUUGAGCUGCACCACAUAAUCAAGAGCUCCAAGUGGGCCAUUUUUCGUAAGCAAAACUGGCGAUGCGGGAUGAACCGAAAGACGGGUUGUGGUGCUAAACUGCACGCUAACCUAGAUCCCAUAAAGGGUGUUGGUCGAUUAAGACAGCAGGACGGUGGUCAUGGAAGUCGAAAUCCACUAAGAAGUGUGUAACAACUCGCCUGCCGCAUAAACUAUCCUCGAAAAUAGAUGGCGCUUAAUCGCGCGAGCUACACCCAACCGUCGGGGCAAAUUCCAGGCCCCAAUGAGUAGGAGGGCGCGGCAGUCGCUGCAAAACCUUGGGCGCGAUCCCGGGUGGAGCGGUCGUCGGUGCAGAUCUUGGUAGUAGUAGCAAAUAUUCAAAUGAGAACUUUGAAGGCCGAAGAGGGGAACGGUUCCAUGUUAACGACACUUGCACAUGGGUUAGUCGAUCCUAAGGGUCAGAGAAACCCGAACAGACAGCGCAUUUUGUGCGUGCUUCGAAAGGGAAUUGGGUUAAAAUUCCUGAACCGGGAUGUGGCGGUCGACGGCAACAUUAGAAAGUCCGGAGACAUCAGUGAGAGCCUCGGGAAGAGUUAUCUUUUCUGCUUAAUAGCCUGCCCACUCUAGAAUCAGCUUAGCCGGAGGUAGUGUCCAGGGGCUGGAAGAGCACCACACGUCACAUGGUAUCCGGUGCGCUCCCGGUGGCCCUUGAAAAUCCAAAGGACCGAAUGCCAUCCACGCUCGGUCGUACACAUAACCGCAUCAGGUCUCCAAGGUGAACAACCUCUGGUCGAUGGAACAAUGUAGGCAAGGGAAGUCCGCAAAAUGGAUUCGUAACUUCGGGGAAAGGAUUGGCUCUGAGGGCUGGGCACGGGGUACCCAGUCCCGCGCCUGUCGGCUGUCGGUGGACUGCUCAAGAUACUCCCCGAGCAUUGAAAAGCCAACUCAGAACUGGUACGUACAAGGGGAAUCCGACCGUUUAAUUAAAACAAAGAAUUGCUUUGGUCCCAACGGAUGUUCACGCAAUGUGAUUUCUACCCAGUGCUCAGAAUGUCAAACUGAAGAAAUUCAACCAAGCGCGGGUAAACGGCAGGAUUAAAUAUGACUCUCUUAAGGUAGCCAAAUGCCUCGUCAUCUAAUUAGUAACGCGCAUGAAUGGAUUAACGAGAUUCCCACUGUCCCUAUCUACUAUCCAGCGAAACCACAUCCAAGGGAACGGGCUUGGCAGAAUCAGCGGGGAAAUAAGACCUUAUUGAGCUUGACUCUAGUCCGACUUUGUGAAAUGACUUGAGAGGUGUAGUAUAAGUGGGAGCCAAAAGGCGAAAGUGAAAUACCACUACUUUUAACGUUAUUUUAUUUAUUCCGUGAAUCGAAAGCGGGGCACUGCCCCUAUUUUUGGACCCAAGGCUCGCUCUGCGGGCCGAUCCGGGCGGAAGACAUUGUCAGGUGGGGAGUUUGGCUGGGGCGGCACAUCUGUUAAAAGAUAACGCAGGUGUCCUAAGAUGAGCUCAACGAGAACAGAAAUCUCGUGUGGAACAGAAGGGUAAAAGCUCGUUUGAUUCUGACUUCUAGUAUAAAUAUGAACCGUGAAAGCGUGGCCUAACGAUCCUUUAGACCUUUGAAAUUAGAAGGUAGAGGUGUCAAAAAAGAUACCACAGGGAUAACUGGCUUGUGGCAGGCAAGCGUUCAUAGCGACUUUACUUUUUGAUCCUUCGAUGUCAGCUCUUCCUAUCAUUGUGAAGUAGAAUUCACCAAGUGUUGGAUUGUUCACCCACCAAUAGGGAACGUGAGUUGGGUUUAGAACGUCGUUAGACAGGUUAGUUUUACCCUACGGAUGACAGUGUCGCAAUAAUAAUUCAACCUUGUACGAGAGAAACCGUUGACUCACACAAUUGGUCAUCGUGCUUGGUUGAAAAGCCGGUGGAGCGAAGCUACCGUGUGCUAGAUUAUGACUGAACGCCUCUAAGUCAGAAUCCGGGCUACAAGUGACACAUGUGCAGGCCGUCCGCUUGCCGACCCGCAGUAGGGGCCUCGGCCCCCAAGGGCACGUGUCGUUGGCUAAGCCGCCAUGGCGGAAGGGUCGCGGUGGCCGCCUUAAAGUACAAGUGAAGUAAAAUUUCCAUGGAGCUGCGGCCAGAAUCCUUUGCAGACGACUUAAAUAUGCGACGGGGUAUUGUAAGUGGCAGAGUG
rnacentral:rRNA from 1 species